CCCUUCUCAGCAUCACACCUGGAGAGUUUCCAGCCUUCUACCAGUCUUGGCUAUGGGAGGGAGAGUCAAGCAGAGGCCUGUCCAUUCCAUUCUUGGCUUGGCCAGUGGCUAGAGAGUGGAAAGCAAUCUGCUGCAAGU